rnacentral:lncRNA from 1 species
GGUUGGUCAAGGGUUUGAAAAUGGUAUAAGUGCAAUAUAUUCAGAACAAAAAGCUAAGCUAAUAGUUAAUAAUGUGGUAACAGAGGAAUUUAAGAUAGAGAAAGGGACACGACAAGGCUGCCCAAUUUCCCCACUGCUUUUUAUUUGGGUCCUGGAGGUUUUGCUAAAUAUGAUUAGAAGGGACCGCUUGAUUAAAGGUAUACAGGUCGGAGUUAAACAGUACAAACUGGAAGCUUUUGCAGAUGAUUUAGUAUUGACGUUACAGGAGCCAGAAUCUAGUACUAAAAGAGUUUUAGAAUUGAUUCAGGAAUUUGGUCAUGUGGCAGGAUUUAAGCUGAACAAGUUAAAAACUAAGGUGCUUGAGAAAAAUUUAACACCGAUUGAGAAAGAGAGGUUUCAGAAGGAGACAGGUUUAACAUUGGUUAAGAAAGUAAAAUACUUGGGGGUUAACAUGACUGCUAAGAACUUAAACCUAUUUAAAGACAAUUAUGAGAAAUGUUGGUCAGAAGUGAAAAAGGAUUUAGAGAUAUGGUCAAACUGGAAGCUUUCCUUGCUAGGUCGAAUUGCUGUUAUAAAGAUGAAUGUAUUGCCAAGAAUGUUAUUCUUGUUUCAAUCAUUGCAAAUUGUGGACAAAAUGGACUGUCUCAAGAAGUGGCAGAGAGACAUUUCUAAAUUUGUCUGGCAGGGCAAAAGCCCAGAAUAAAAUUUAAAAUAUUAACCGAUGCAAAGGAUAGAGGUGGAUUUGCCCUGCCAGACCUCAAACUUUAUUAUGAAUCAGCAGCAUUCUGCUGGUUGAAAGAAUGGCUGCUUCUUGAGAACACAGACAUUUUGGAUUUAGAAGGUUUCAACAAUGUUUUUGGGUGGCACGCAUAUUUGUGGUAUGACAAGGUCAAAGCACAUAAAGCAUUUAAAAACCAUAUUGUCAGGAAAGCAUUGUUAAAUGUCUGGAUAAGAUAUAAGGAUUUAUUGGAAAAUAAAACCCCUAGGUGGCUGUCACCGAUGGAAGCAAAGCCUCAGAAAAGGCUCAAUAUGGAGGCCAAAUGGCCAAAAUAUUGGGAAAUUUUGGAACAAGAAGGAGACAAAUUGAAAUUGCAGAGUUUUGAAAAAUUAAAAGAUAAAGUGCGAGACUGGCUUCAUUAUUAUCAGAUAAUGGAGGCAUAUAAUUUGGAUAAGAAAAUUGGCUUCCAGGUGGAAAAAUCAAAAUUGGAAACAGAAUUGUUAGAACCCAAUACUAAGAUUUUGUCAAAAAUGUAUAACUUGUUGUUGAAAUGGAAUACUCAGGAUGAAACCGUGAAAUCUGCUAUGAUUAAAUGGGCACAAGAUCUAGGAUAUAACAUUAUGUUUGCUGACUGGGAACAGUUGUGGACCACAGGCAUGAAAUUUACGGCAUGUAAUGCCCUAAGAGAGAAUAUUAUGAAAAUGAUAUACAGGUGGUACAUGACACCAGUCAAGCUUGCAAAAAUUUACCAUGCGCCCGAUAAUAAAUGUUGGAAAUGUAAAGAAAAUGAAGGUACUUUCUUUCACCUUUGGUGGACGUGCCCAAAGAUUAAGGCUUUCUGGGAGAUGAUAUAUAAUGAAUUGAAAAGGUAUUUAAAUAUACCUUCUUGAAGAAACCAGAGGCCUUUCUCCUGGGCAUAGUCGGCCAAUUGGUGCCAAAGAGGGACAGAACUUUCUUUAUGUAUGCCACAACAGCAGCAAGAAUACUCAUUGCAAAGUAUUGGAAGACACAAGAUCUACCCACCUUGGAAGAAUGGCAGAUGAAGAUGAUGGACUAUAUGGAAUUGGCGGAAAUGACUAGCAGAAUCCGAGACCAGGGAGAAGAGUCGACGGAGGAAGAUUGGAAGAAGUUUAAAGACUAUCUACAGAAAUAUUGUAAAAUUAAUGAAUGCUAGAAUGAUGUUGGAUAGAAACUAAGUGAACUUUAGCUGAAAGGUUACAAGGAAUAUGAAAAAAUGGAUUAUUAAUAUGUAAAAAUCUAAAAUUACAAUACUUUAUGAUUAAUGAUUAGGAUACAUAAAGAGGGGAGGGAUUUGUUGAACUAAUAACUGAACUGGAAUACAAAAAAGGGAGGUGUGAGGAGGUCCUGGAAAUAAGCAAAUGAAGGCUAAGCAAUGGAAGGAAUGAAUUGUUUUUAACUAUUUUUACUUUGUAUUUUCUCUUUUUUCUUUUUCUUUUUGUUUUGUAAUACUCUGAAAAUCUUAAUAA